ACUUGUCGCUCGUUUCUUGGACGUUUCCUCCCUAGACUUGGGCCGCUGUCAUAGGCGGCCUUUUUUUUGUCUAAA
rfam:Thalassospira alkalitolerans strain JCM 18968 contig6, whole genome shotgun sequence.